rnacentral:lncRNA from 10 species
AAUUAAAGCAGAAGCUCAGCUUCUGGCAACGGCGCUCCUGACAGCAUUGUUUUUCAUGUUUACAGGUGGUCAAAAGACAGAUAUGGAAUGCCAUCACUUUCCACAUUAGGUUCUUAUGAAGCAAACAUAUCUGCAAUGCUUGAACUACUGUACAAGGAGAUGUAAACAAGGGUGUCACCGUUUAUAUCCUGCCCCUCUACCCACAGCACUCCCCACCCCACCCCCAUCCCCCUUUCAUUUCCAUUGUUCUUGGAAGAGGUCGUUUAUCUCUACUGGAAAACUGUGUCUCUUCUGAGAAGUAGCAUGAAUCCCAAAUAGCACAGAAAUUAAAUUUCAACACAACCCCCCUCCCCACAAAAUUGAGCAAGUUCAUUUGGGAUUUUAAAUUGAAUGCAUUUAUUUUUCUUUUAAAUUGGAUGUAUUUCUGGGCUAUUGGAUAGAGCAUUUUGAAAGAAAAAGAUGUAUAUGCAUGUGCAUACACACAUACAUAUAUACGUAUGUAGACAUACCUGGGGAUUUCUGGUAAUCUUAUUUGUUACCAUAGAAUUUGAUCUAUAGUAAAAUAAAUGAAUAUGACAGCAUUGAUCUUUAAAAUACUUCUUGAAAGAAGCAGAUAUUCUGUAAGGAAGUGAAAACGUGAGAGUGAAAUUACGUAUAAGUUAAAUAUUCAGAAAUAAGACAGAAUCAUUAUUUUAUGCCUGACAACAUGAAGUGGCUUUAAUAAUAGUCACAAUAAGAUAGGUAUUCUUUUUAUUUCACAGAUGAGGAAACUGAGGCUUAGAGAAGCCUGGUCAAGAUCACUAGGUAGUGAACAGAGGUGUCAUUAUUCAAACCUGGAACUGACCAAACAGCUGUACUUUUCUCCUUCUACAACAUUGUCUGCCUGAAUACCCAGCAGCUGACAUAAAGGCAAAUCUUAAUUUUACACAGAAACAGAAGACUGUGACAACAUGGCCAAUUGAAAUCACAGAUGCAUAUUGGUCAGUACUUUCACUCUUUUCUUUCACCCUUAAUUAAUAACAAAUAAUAAAUUUGAUGGAUUGAUUCUCAUUUUCCAUCUUCUGAUAUUCAAAAUCCCCCUUGAAUUUUGGUGGAAGAUUUCCACUGCCUACUAAUGUCCUGGCAGAGACCUCGAAGAAGCGCCAUGUCCUCUGGCUGAAUGGGGAUGGGCUGUAGAGCUGGAGAGGCCUAAGGAAUCACACAGACCAAUUCUUCUGCCUGGCCAGGCAUGGUGGCUCAAGCUUGUAAUCCCAGCAUUUUGGCAUUUUGGGAGGCUGAGGCAGGUGGAUCACUUGAGGUGCCACCACACCUGGCUAAUUUUUUUGUAUUUUUAGUAGAGACGGGGUUUCACCAUGUUAGCCAGGAUGGUCUCAAUCUCCUGACCUCGUGAUCUGCCCGCCUCGGCCUCCCAAAGUGCUGGGAUUACAGGUGUGAGCCACCGUGCCCAGCCUCGGAACCUACAUUCUAAUCAGCUUUGCAGGACUAUUGUGAGGACAGCACCAAGAAGAAGGUGCUACACCAUUCAUGAGAAACCCACCCCCACGAUCCAGUCACCUCCCACCAGACCCCACCUCCAAUAAUGGGGAUUGCAAUUCAGUAUGAUAUUUGGGCAGGGAGAAAUAUACAAACUUUAUCAGCAGGUUACUAGACACCCAAGCAAGAUAUAAACUAUGACCAGAAAAAAAAAAAAGAGAGAAAGAGCUGCAAAACAUCUCAAAUUGUUUAUUAGUCAUCAUAUUGUUGAUGGUAAUGCUGGUGUAGGUAUUUUGAGACUGGGUGUGUGUGUGUGUGUGUGUGUGUGUGUGUGUGUGUGUGUUAUGGAAUACAGCCUCAGAAUAAGUUUCUUGGUAUUGUUAAGAUUUAGGACUUUUGGCCUAGAAAGAAUGAGAUAC